AGCAGCCGCGGUAAUUCCAGCUCCAAUAGCGUAUAUUAAAGUUGUUGCAGUUAAAAAGCUCGUAGUUGAAUUUCGGGAUCAGUAUGUUGGUCGUGCUUCGGUACGUACUGUCAUUACUGGUUUCUACCUUCUGAAGAACCUUGAUGUCAUUAAUUUGGUGUCUUGGGGAAUCAGGACUGUUACUUUGAAAAAAUUAGAGUGUUUAAAGCAGGCAUACGCUUGAAUACAUUAGCAUGGAAUAAUGAAAUAGGACGUUUGAUUCUAUUUUGUUGGUUUCUAGGAUCGACGUAAUGAUUAAUAGGGAUAGUUGGGGGCAUUAGUAUUCAAUUGUCAGAGGUGAAAUUCUUGGAUUUAUUGAAGACUAACUACUGCGAAAGCAUUUGCCAAGGAUGUUUUCAUUAAUCAAGAACGAAAGUUAGGGGAUCGAAGACGAUCAGAUACCGUCGUAGUCUUAACCAUAAACUAUGCCGACUAGGGAUCGGAUGAUGUUAUUUUUAAUGACUCAUUCGGCGCCUUACGG
rnacentral:rRNA from 1 species